UCAAAAAAAAAAAAUCAAAGAUCUAUUAUUAGAUAGAGAUGUUGAGAAUAAGCACAGUAACAUACCUAGCCCAGCAGGCCUUGGAGGACUUUCUAGACUAUUCUGGUUUAUGGUGCCCUGACAGAGAAAUGCCUGAGUCCAGUGACCUUGUAGCAUCAUUGCUUUCAUGCCUGUUUGAGUCAUAUGUCUGGAAUCCCAAAACAACAGUUUCACUUUUAAUAGCUUCUCAUUAAGUUUGCCAUAGAAGUAGAGUCAACGGCUUUGUUAGGGAAUGGCGAGUGCCAUGAAUAGUUGAAUAACUAGAGAAUCUGUGUUCCCUAAAAGAUCUCAAAAAUCAUCCUGAUUCAAACCCUUCAUUUCAGAUAAAGAAACUCCCUGAGAGCUAACAGUCAUGUUGUGAAAAACCAGCACCACCCUAUCUUGCCUCUACUACAUGCUUCUACUCCUACAAAAACGCAAUGGAAAACCAAAGCUCUUUAUUAAAACUGACCUAUACAAAUUUAAUUAUCUUAACAGGUGAGCACAUGCACAUACUGUAAAAUACAAACCAUUGAAAAUAAUAGCUUUAGAGCCUGAAAAACUCCUUAUUUCUUCUCUCCGUUUCAACUCAUUCUAAUUUCAUUUGCAGAUGAAUAUAGAUACUCAUUUUAACAGUUCUUUGUUAAUAAAUAAGUCUGUAGGAAUUUAUGUCAAAUGAUAAUGAGACUCUGGGAUUUUCAGUAAUUUUAAUAGCAGGUGGAUUUUUUUGUUUAUUUGAUUGGUUCACUAAUAUUUUCUUUCUUCUUUCACAAGAAGGUUUACAUUACCUGAAUAGUCACUUCGACUUUUAGCUUUAACUGAAAAAAAUUAAUUAUCUAAAUAAAUAUUAUAAUUAUUAUCCUUAUCUGAUACUUAUUGAUGAAACUAUAAAAAAAUCCUUAAGAACUCUUAAAGACUAAGAGUAUGAUAUUGUUUAAACGCUUAUUUUUUGUUUGUUUCUGUAUGACUUUUUAGUUCACUUUCACAAUAUUUUUAGACAUCCAAUCAUUCAGAAAUCUUAUUAAAUCAACCAUAUUUUCCCCUCGAAUAGCUUUUAGUCUCAACCACAGAAAGUUAUCUGUAAUAUUAACACUUAAAAGAAGGAGUAUCAAAAUAACAAUGAGAAACCACCAUUCACCUAUUAGAAUGGCCAAAAUCUGGAACACUGACAACCCCAAAUGCUGGUAGGAUGUGGAGCAACAAGAACUCUCGUUCAUUGCUGGCAGGACGCAAAAUGAUACAGCCACCUUGGAUGACAGUUUGGCGGUUUCUCAGAAACUAAACAUACUCUUAGCAUUUGAUCCAGCAACACCACUCCUUGGUGUUUACCCAGAAGAGUUGAAAACUUACGUCCACACGCAAACCUGCACAGAGACUUUUAGAGCAGCUUUAUUCAUAAUUGCUAAAACUUGGAAGCAACCUAGAUGUCCUUCAGUAGGUGGAUGCAUUAAAAAAACUGUGGUACAUCCAGACAAGAUAAUAGUAUUCAGGGCUAAAAAGAAAUAAGUUAUCAAGCCAUGAAAGGAUAUGAGGAAACUUAUAUGCAUAUUGCUAAGUUAAAGAAGCUAAUCUGAAAUUACUACAUACUGUUUGAUUCCAACUAUAUGACAUUCUGCAAAAUGCAAAACUAUGGAGUCAAUAAAAAGAUCAGGGAUUGAUGGAAGGGGUAUGAAAUGAAUAGGCAGAGCAUGGAGAAUUUUUAGGGCUGUGAAAAUAUUCUGUAUGAUACUAUAGUGAUGAUACACAUCAAUGUAAUUAUACAUUUGUCCAAAUCUAUAGAAAUCACACCACCAAGAAUCAACCAUAAUGUAAACUGUGGUCCUUGGGUGAUUAUGAUGUAUCAACGUAGAUUCAUCAAUUAUAACAAGUGUACCUCUCUGGUAGUCAUAUUGAUAAUGGGGGAAACUAUGCAUAUGUGGUGACAAAGGAUAUAUAGGAAAUCUCUGUACCUUCCUCUCAAUUUUGCUGUGAACCUAAUACAGCUCUAAAUAUUUAAAGUCUUUUAUGAAAGAAAAAGAAAGAGUAUUCAGUUAUUUCAGAGAUCAAGAAUAUUUUGCCCAACUUCAAUAUUCAUAAUUAGAUCAAUUUUCUUAGGGAUUUUGAAGUUAGCCAAACUAUCAUUUCCAUCCCUAUCUCUAUCGUGCCUUCAAACUUCAUCUUAAAAACAAAAAGAAACAAAUGUUUAAAAUUUAUCAUCCUCACCUAUUGAAGAAAUUCACAUGUGAAGAUCAGAGAGUCUUAAUAACAUUAAAUCAUUCAUAAAUUUGUUGAAUGAUUUACUUUAAAAGUAAAUUGAUUUUCUGUCAGGAACAAGUAUUGCAGGGUCAUGACUGAUACUAACCUAUUUUAUCCCAAUUGUUAUAAGUCUGGCCAUCAUAAUGGUUUUUUGAGCCCUUUUCCGGUUUGGCUUUAAGGGUUUGUUCCCUAAUCAUUUUAUAUUGUUUUAAAUAAUUGAGAGUAAAAAUUAAGAAAUAAGUAUCUAGCUCUGUCCUAUUUUUUGUUGAUAAGGUUAUAAAAGGAAAUGUGUUGAUAUGAUGAGCCCCCAGAUCAGCCCACAGUGAGUGGACACUGCAGAAGCUACUAGGCCUACUUCCACCCCACCCCCACUCCCCAGUGAGUCAUUGUCACUCAGCUCUCGUGGGACAUUUUUCUUUUUAUGGAACGAGGAUGCAGUUGGUCAGAGCCUGUGUUCUAAGAAAAGAGGAGCUGGCACUGGAGAUGAAGGGAUGUGCAAUUACAGCAAAGAUUCCCAGAAAGUCCAACUCGGGAUUUCUUCAUGGAGUUCCAGAAAACUACCAACAUGUUACCCCUCCUCCAUAAAAAAAAAAAGAAGUAAACUAUCAGGAUGUGUGCCCACGUAAAGUCUACAAUACUCAACACGAGAAUAAAGAAUACAAAAGAGAGCUUUGUAAUCACCAACCCAGGACCAUUGGAUACUCUAUUCUUGUGCUGAAUAUUUGCCUGGUUGUUUGCUUUUUAAGUUUAAAGUUUAAAUGCCAACCUGCUUUUUCAUGAGUUCUCUUUGAAUCAGUCCUUUGUUUGGUCAGUUCACAAGGUACACAUUAGCUGCCAAGCAUGAUUAGGCUCUGAGGUAACAGUGAUUAAGAGGUAGGGAAAUGAUUGGAGGCCACCAACACAAAUUUAAAAAAAAAAAAAAAAAAAAAAAAGAACUAGAAUAGGGAGAGGACGUUUUCUGCUGCUUAUAUCAGAUACCAGAUUCUCAAAUCGAAGGAGUCAACAAAAUGUUACAAUGAAUUUAAUACAAGCAUGCCCCAUGACUGGUCAGAAAUAAACAGACAUUUUACUCAUAAUGCUAAUUAGGAUCCCACAAGUGACUAAUUCUAACUUAGAAAGGUUUAUUCAGCCUCACACAGUGGGAGCAUAUUGUGUGGCUACUCUGGUUUCCAAGGGAAAAUGAAAUAACGGGAAGUCAUUGUAAAAGGUCAUUGAUCAGAAAAUUCCAAACUUCCAUUUCGCACCUUUAUAAGAAGCAACAAAAUGUAUCCCAAAUAAGCUCAGGGAAAAGAGAAAAGAACUCAGAGUCUGGUUUGAAUUAUUUUUUAAACCACCGAGAGUCCUAUUUAGAUUUUCCUUGAGCACUUGGAAGACUUAAUGCUCUCUUAACGUAGGAAGGCAAAAGAAACUGAGAUGUUCCAGGAAACCUGUGGCUUAACACAGAAACCAUAGUUCCUGAAACAAGAAGACCUGGCUGCAUUUUUCUCACUGCCGUCUCAUAUGAAUAGAUCACCCCAAUUUCAAUCCAUAUCAAAUAAAAGUACAUGUCUUUAAGAAUACAA